rnacentral:rRNA from 1 species
AGAGCGAACGCUGGCGGCAGGCCUAAUACAUGCAAGUCGAACGCACCUUCGGGUGAGUGGCGGACGGGUGAGUAACACGUGGGAACGUGCCUUUUGGUUCGGAAUAAUCCGGGGAAACCUGGCCUAAUACCGAAUGUGCCCUUCGGGGGAAAGAUUUAUCGCCAUUAGAGCGGCCCGCGUCUGAUUAGCUAGUUGGUGAGGUAACGGCCCACCAAGGCGACGAUCAGUAGCUGGUCUGAGAGGAUGAUCAGCCACACUGGGACUGAGACACGGCCCAGACUCCUACGGGAGGCAGCAGUAGGGAAUCUUGCGCAAUGGGCGAAAGCCUGACGCAGCCAUGCCGCGUGAAUGAUGAAGGUCUUAGGAUUGUAAAAUUCUUUCAGCGGGGAAGAUAAUGACUGUACCCGCAGAAGAAGCUCCGGCUAACUUCGUGCCAGCAGCCGC